AAGCGGGGAUAUAAAUAUAAGACGAGAAGACCCCAUGGAGCUUUAAACCCAACAACACCUAUCUAUUUUAUUCCCCCAUAUUUAUACGGUUAUGUUUGUUUGGUUUUAGGUUGGGGUGACCGCGGAGUAUAAAACAACCUCCACGAAGAAAAGACUAAUAAUCUUUAUCAGAGAAAGACAUUUCUAAGAAAUAAUAUAUUAACUUUAAAUGAUCCGAUAUUCGAUUAACGAAUCAAGUUACCCUGGGGAUAACAGCGCAAUCCACCUUAAGAGCCCUUAUCGACAGGUGGGUUUACGACCUCGAUGUUGGAUCAGGGUAUCACAGUGGUGCAGCAGCUACUAAUGGUUCGUUUGUUCAACGAUUAAAACCCU
rnacentral:rRNA from 1 species